GACGAACGCUGGCGGCGUGCUUAACACAUGCAAGUCGAACGAGGUCCAUGCAGUCGCAAGACUGCGGAAGAUCUAGUGGCGAACGGGUGCGUAACACGUGAGAAACCUGUCCCGGUCUCUGGAAUAACAAGUGGAAACACUUGCUAAUACCGGAUGCCGUCGGACCAUCGCAUGAUGGACUGACGAAAGGGCUACCGGAUCGGGAGGGUCUCGCGGCCUAUCAGCUUGUUGGUGAGGUAACGGCUCACCAAGGCAUCGACGGGUAGCUGGUCUGAGAGGAUGAUCAGCCACACUGGGACUGAGACACGGCCCAGACUCCUACGGGAGGCAGCAGUGGGAAAUCUUGCACAAUGGGCGAAAGCCUGAUGCAGCAACGCCGCGUGCGGGAAGAAGGCCCUAGGGUUGUAAACCGCUUUCAGCAGGGAAGAAACUGACGGUACCUGUAGAAGAAGGUGCGGCCAACUACGUG
rnacentral:rRNA from 1 species